GCGAGCCUCUACUUUGUGCUAGACCUGUGAACUCAUAGCCCUGAGCAUAAUUAUAUGCUGAGUCCUAUGAAUCUUCCUAGGAAAUCACAUAUAUAUGAAUGAAACAUUUUAUAUCGAUUUUUAAAUGCUCACUACAUGCCUCUGAAGCAGUCAAGCAGUUUAUUGUGGUUUAAUGAUGAGAUGCAUGUGCUAAGGAGGUAAUUAGAAGAAGUGAGAAAAGGAGACGGUGUGAAAUUUUGAAGAUUUUAUAUGCCAUGAUGCAGAAAUAAAAGUUCAGCAGGGUCAAGUUAAGUUGUCCAAUGUUCAGUAUGAUGGAGUGGGAUUCACAUGCAAGACUAACUACCACUGAACCAUUUACUUCUGACUUUGCUAUUCUGCUUCCACUCACUGAACAUCUCUCUGUGCAAGGCUCAGCACCUGGUAUGAAGGCUGAAACAAGAGCGGUUGCACAGCAAAUGUUUUGCUAUAAUGAGAGAAUACAUGAAUUAAAUGCGAAUUAAACUG
rnacentral:antisense_RNA from 1 species